rnacentral:rRNA from 1 species
GCUGGCGGCAGGCCUAACACAUGCAAGUCGAGCGCCCCGUAAGGGGAGCGGCAGACGGGAGAGUAACACGUGGGAACGUGCCCUUUGGUUCGGAACAACCCAGGGAAACUUGGUCUAAUACCGGAUACGUCCGUAAGGAGAAAGAUUUAUCGCCAAAGGAUCGGCCCGCGUCUGAUUAGCUUGUUGGUGAGGUAACGGCUCACCAAGGCGACGAUCAGUUGCUGGUCUGAGAGGAUGAUCAGCCUCACUGGGUCUGAGACACGGCCCAGACUCCUACGGGAGGCAGCAGUGGGGAAUAUUGGACA